ACAACGAAAAGGCAAAACUAUGGAAACAUAGCAGCGCAAAGCUAUAGGGGCUAAAGUGGUUAAUCCACUAUGCCAGCCAGUUGCCGAA
rnacentral:ncRNA from 1 species